UACGUAGGUGGCAAGCGUUGUCCGGAUUUACUGGGUAUAAAGGGCGUGUAGGCGGGAAGAUAAGUCAGAUGUGAAAUUCCAGGGCUCAACUCUGGCGCUGCAUCUGAAACUAUUUUUCUUGAGUGAUGGAGAGGAAAGCGGAAUUCCUAGUGUAGCGGUGAAAUGCGUAGAUAUUAGGAGGAACACCAGUGGCGAAGGCGGCUUUCUGGACAUUAACUGACGCUGAGGCGCGAAAGCGUGGGGAGCAAAC
rnacentral:rRNA from 1 species